rnacentral:lncRNA from 1 species
CUCGAAUUGACUGAGUGUUUGGUAAGUUAGCAGCCAUCGUCAUCGUCAUCAUCAUCAUCAUCAUCACAGAACUGGAAGGUCUUGCAUCUGAAAACUCUCCAUGCCCCAUGCCAAGCCUCUUGUUUGUUCCCAGCUGUGCGGAGAUCUGUCUGUCCACAGGGCAGCACACACAUACACACACACACACCAUACACAUGCACAGAGGUCUGUCUGGCUGGCUCUCUCCCUGGCCCCCUCAACAAAGCUCUCUUGUCAAGCUGGCCAGGACGAGAAUAUUGAUGAGACAGAGGGCAACCAGGGUACAAACAGCCUGCUCAGCCGUCGUCCUCUGUGGGACAAGCUGUCACCUCUCCCUGGCCCCCUCUGACCUUCCAUGGCGCUCCCAGGCUCCCUCCCCAGUGGAGCAUCCAUGGAUGGACAAACUGAGGCCCAGCUCCAUCUAAAACAAGCCUGAAAUCCUAGGAGGAGGAUGGUGGAGUCCCGCCAGGGAGCUUUGUCAAGUGCCUCUGUCAUCUCCACUUCCUGGAUCAGUUACAUCAUACCCUCCAGGGAAGUGUCCCGGGGGAUGGCCAGAUCAGCCUGUCCUUUGUGGCAGGAGGUGGGGAUUCUGACGGUUGUUUUCACAGCUCGGGAGGACAGGCAGCUCUCACCUCUGUUUGCCCUCCCUGGCCAGUGCAGCCAGCUCCUGAGUCUCGUGGUUAACUAAGGUCUCAGACCUCAGGCUGAAACUGCUACCCUGCUGUGUGACCUUGGGGUGGUGGUCACCUAAGUUCCCUUAGCCUCAGUUUCCUGCCUGGAGAGAUGGGAACGAUGAUAGCUACUAGGUAUUGUGAGUCUUAUAGAUAAUGGCAGCCUAGGGCCAGGCACCGAGUAAGGACUCAAAGAAUAGCAGCUGCUAUUUUAAAAUUUAAUUUAAUUAAUUUAUUU